rnacentral:rRNA from 1 species
CCUACGGGAGGCAGCAGUGGGGAAUUUUGGACAAUGGGCGCAAGCCUGAUCCAGCCAUGCCGCGUGAGUGAAGAAGGCCUUCGGGUUGUAAAGCUCUUUCGGCCGGGAAGAAAUCGUGUUCUCUAACAUAGGACAUGGAUGACGGUACCGGACUAAGAAGCACCGGCUAACUACGUGCCAGCAGCCGCGGUAAUACGUAGGGUGCGAGCGUUAAUCGGAAUUACUGGGCGUAAAGCGUGCGCAGGCGGUUUUGUAAGACAGAUGUGAAAUCCCCGGGCUUAACCUGGGAACUGCGUUUGUGACUGCAAGGCUAGAGUACGGCAGAGGGGGUGGAAUUCCUGGUGUAGCAGUGAAAUGCGUAGAUAUCAGGAGGAACACCGAUGGCGAAGGCAGCCCCCUGGGCCUGUACUGACGCUCAUGCACGAAAGCGUGGGGAG